rnacentral:rRNA from 1 species
AGGACUAACGCUGGCGGCGUGCCUAACACAUGCAAGUCGAACGAGAGUAGCAAUACUCUAGUGGCAGACGGGUGAGUAACACGUGGUCAACCUACCUUUAAGUGGGGGAUAACUAGCCGAAAGGUUAGCUAAUACCGCAUACGAUCUUCGCGUGGCAUCACAUGAAGAUGAAAGGAGCAAUCCGCUGAAAGACGGGACCGCGUCCCAUUAGCCAGUUGGUGGGGUAACGGCCUACCAAAGCAACGAUGGGUAGCUGGCUUGAGAGAGCGACCAGCCACACUGGGACUGAGACACGGCCCAGACUCCUACGGGAGGCAGCAGUGAGGAAUUUUCCGCAAUGGGCGAAAGCCUGACGGAGCGACGCCGCGUGUGGGAUGAAGGCCUUCGGGUCGUAAACCACUGUCGAAGGGGAAGAUAUUGACGGUACCCUUGGAGGAAGCCCCGGCUAACUACGCGCCAGCAGCCGC